GGGGAGAGGAACUUGUUCCUCGAGUCGUUGAUUUCACACUGCCGAGAAAAGCCUCUAGCUAGAAUAACGGUGCCCGUACCGCAAACCGACACAGGUAGUCAAGAUGAGAAUUCUAAGGUGAGCGAGCGAACUCUCGUUAAGGAACUCGGCAAAAUGACCCCGUAACUUCGGGAGAAGGGGUGCUCUUUGAGGUUCACGCUUCGAAGAGCCGCAGUGAAUAGGCCCAAGCGACUGUUUAUCAAAAACACAGGUCUCUGCUAAACCGUAAGGUGACGUAUAGGGGCUGACGCCUGCCCGGUGCUGGAAGGUUAAGAGGAGUGGUUAGCGCAAGCGAAGCUACGAAUCGAAGCCCCAGUAAACGGCGGCCGUAACUAUAACGGUCCUAAGGUAGCGAAAUUCCUUGUCGGGUAAGUUCCGACCCGCACGAAAGGCGUAACGAUUUGGGCACUGUCUCAACGAGAGACUCGGUGAAAUCAUAGUACCGGUGAAGAUGCCGGUUACCCGCGACAGGACGGAAAGACCCCGUGGAGCUUUACUGUAGCCUGAUAUUGAAAUUCGGUACAGUUUGUACAGGAUAGGUAGGAGCCUUAGAAGCGUGAGCGCUAGCUUACGUGGAGGCAUUGGUGGGAUACUACCCUAAUUGUAUUGGAUUUCUAACCCGCAGCACUUAUCGUGCUGGGAGACAGUGUCAGGCGGGCAGUUUGACUGGGGCGGUCGCCUCCUAAAGAGUAACGGAGGCGCUCAAAGGUUCCCUCAGAAUGGUUGGAAAUCAUUCAUAGAGUGUAAAGGCAUAAGGGAGCUUGACUGCGAGACCUACAAGUCGAGCAGGGUCGAAAGACGGACUUAGUGAUCCGGUGGUUCCGCAUGGAAGGGCCAUCGCUCAACGGAUAAAAGCUACCCCGGGGAUAACAGGCUUAUCUCCCCCAAGAGUUCACAUCGACGGGGAGGUUUGGCACCUCGAUGUCGGCUCAUCGCAUCCUGGGGCUGUAGUCGGUCCCAAGGGUUGGGCUGUUCGCCCAUUAAAGCGGUACGCGAGCUGGGUUCAGAACGUCGUGAGACAGUUCGGUCCCUAUCCGUCGUGGGCGUAGGAAAUUUGAGAGGAGCUGUCCUUAGUACGA
rnacentral:rRNA from 1 species